rnacentral:lncRNA from 1 species
UUCUAAAUCUAGUGUAGAUUUAAAGAAUAUAGAGAAAUCUUUUCUGUGGUUAAAAACUUAAACACAUCCCUGUCUACAUGGAGUUUGUUUUAGCAGGUUGGACAAUACUUAAGAAAGAAUUGUGCUAUUAAAUGAAGAGGUGUACUAGUGAAGAUUAAUGGUGUCUGGACUGGAGGAGGAAAGGCUGCUUUAAACAGGAUGCUUUAAUUCUGUCAUGUCCUAUGGCAGACCCCAAAAAAGAAGAUGAUGUCUUCUCGGAGCUGGUAAAGAGUGAAUAAUGGAAGAAAGGACUCAGAUCUGAGUACAUACUUCAAGAAAGCAAGGAAAAAGAUGGCUAUUGGGAGCCCCUUUGGCUAAUGACCUGUAGGAGAUGUGAUGACUAAUUAGUUUUUUAGGUUUUCUUUUUAUACAUUACCAUUCAUGACUUAAUAAAAUUUAUUAAAUGCCUGUUGUCUAGCA